AUUAUGCCAUGAUUAAAGAGUCAUGAAGUUUUUACCACAAACAAAUGAAGCUGCUCUUCCGGAGUCUUGUAACUAAUAUGUUACAUUCACGGUAAAAAGCAGCAAGGAGGCACAUGUUGGUUAAGCAUACAAAACCACUACAUCUUGAAGACUGACAUGCCAUAAUGUACCAAGACGCUAGUGAACAUUAAAACAAACUCUGAGGCACCUAUUAAAUGAUUUAGGAUGUAAUCAUUGUCAUGUGUAAGUUAGUUUUAGACGUGCAUAUAUACCUAUCGAACUUAUAAAAGUAUUCAGCCUAAGUAUAAUUUUCAUGUAAUCUGAAUUACUUGAUCUGUUGCAGGGUGGCAAGCAUUGGUCCUAGCAUCCUUAAUCCCUCCGAUUGUAAGAUUCUUGUCCAUUAUCCAUCUUCAAUUAGACAUAAUUUGCUAAUUUCUUGGUUAUCUGCUCAAUGAUCUUUUUUAUUUUGUUACAUCAACUAAUUGUAUUUGCACCAACAUAGAAGUAUCCAUUUAUCUAUCGUCCAUUACCACAGAUUUAUCAUCCACAAAGUCUUUGAAACUCAGACUUCACCAAAAGGUCUUUUCCCAUAAGAGUUAGACUGAAGCAAAUAUAUUGAGCUCAGUUAGAUGCAAAUUGUUGAUGCAAAUUUAAUUAGGCCAAAGGAAGAACUACUGAAGCAAAAUAAUUGAAGCCAGAAAACUCAUUCUCGUAGAAUUUGGAGAAGGCUAGUCAUACGUAGUGUCUAAUAAAGAUAACAGGUGAGUGUUUGAAAAAAAUUAACUGACUUGAGAUGUUUUGAGUUAGUUAUUUUCAGUCUUUGUGAUGUUAUUGCUAUUUUCUUCCACUCUGUUUCUCAUGGGUAGACGUUGUUUUCACAAGAGUGUUGAGGUUUUUAAGUUUUCUUCUAUUUUAGUUUAUUAUUACAAAAAGUGGUUCACACGAUUGUUGAAUUUUAAAGGAGAUAGCACCUAAUAAUUACUGUAGCUUACUACUCAAAGAAAUUACUAACUCUUACAAAGAAACCUUCUAUAUUAGUCAAGUUCUCUUUUUCGUUAUCUUUCAGUUUUGAUUCUUCACAUUCAAUUUUUAUCUGUACUUUUUUUAUUUUUUUGUAAUUUUUUGUCAUGAUUCUUAUAGUUUUUGUGCAAAUGACAUUUGAUAGUUUUUCUGCCUUGAAGUAUCUGGUUUGGUUUCAACACCUAGUUUUCUCUAGUUCUUAUUUUCUUUAUGCUUGUUAAGUAGUAGAGGUUCACUACCUCAUUAGGAUUAGUAAGGUAAGGUCUAGCCCCCCUUACUUGUACUCUUGUCUUUGAGGUUCAUUUUUAUUUAUUAAUAAAAAAAACUAGCUCUAGGCACUCCGCCUAGCGGAUUCGCUUUUUUUUAAAAAAAAAAAAAAAAGUUAUAGGAGAAAUCCAUAUGUUGGAUUUGUAUUUUCUUCCAUCCCUAUUUGGUGUCCCCUUAGAUUGUGUAAAUUGUGUUUCCUGCAUUCUGCAUUCACUUAUCAGCUCAAUUCCAUGACUCAGCCUAUGAUGGUAUUAAAUAUACUUUGAGUAUUUUAGUAUGAAAAAGCUUUUAAUCUGAGGUUUGAGGCUUUAUCAAUUCCUUCUUCUUUUUUAAAAUUAUUUUUGUAAACUUUAUUUAGCUUUGCUCUUUAUUUCAUGAAACAAUCAUAUAGCUCAUCGUUUUGAUUAUUGGAUUUUAAGCUAAUUAAUUGAGGUUUCUGAUGUACUUUUGCCAAAGGAAAAACCUUUGUAGUGACAUAUCUUGGGAUUCCGGAUUUUAUUUUGAUUAUAUAAUCAAUGGAAUUUCAAGAUGUUAGUCCUUUUGUUGGUCCUGCUAUUUUUGAAAUUCAUUAUGCUUCUACCAUUCUUUUUCCCGAAAAGCUGUGAUUUACUUUUAUUAGAUUGUCAUUUAUUUUAAUUACAUCCUAUUGGGAAACUACUUUAGUGGUCUUGUCAUUGCUCUACCGGAGUCUUGUAACUGAUAUGGUACAUUCAUGGUAAAAAGAAGCAAGGAGAAAACAUUUCCUUUUCUAAUCCUUUUUUAUAUGAUCUAUGUAUUUGUUUUGUAUGUUAUUGCAUUCAAAAGUAUCAUUUGAUCUUGUAGAAACUGUCACUGCACAGGUGAUGAUGGCUAGAAGUGUAGUCUUUUACUUUUUUUAGUUUGCAAUAAGAUGGUUCUUGGACGUCUUUAUUAUGGGAAUAACGCCGAAUAUCAAGAAAGCAAAACUUGGAUGUUGUGCCAGUCUUUGAAGGAACUAACUUAUGAAAAUAUUUCCAUAAUUCUUUCGUGUUAGUCCUUGAGAAUGUGUUAUAGUCAAAAUCUCUUUACGGCUCUGGUGGACCUUUUUAAAAGCCUUUCGGUUUCGUAGUGUUAAAAAGUUGAUUCUCUACCCUUGGUGCUAGACAUUUAUGUGCUUUGGCUGUUUCAGUGGUCUAUUUAUUAACAUAUCUUUCCUCUGCCCAAUUUAGACUUAUGCUAGACAUACUUCAGUGACGGACGAAGUAUGUAAUUGUUGAUUGGUUUUUAUGGAUUUUAGAGUACCGAAACAAAAUCCCACUUACUUGAUAUGAUUCAAUUUUAACUACCUGGGUUCCUUACUUUGCCAUUACUGAACAGAGAACAUAAGUCACUAUGAGCUUUCACACUUGAGUUAUAUAAAGUUGACUAAGGAAGAUCGUUGUGAAAAUUUUUCCUUUACAGAGAUAGGACUUUUUAAGUACUAUGUAGUUAUUCUGACAUAUGCAUUCUUGAUGAACGUAACAAAGCUGACUUGGGCUAGUUAUUAAAUUACUAAGCUCGAUUGGGUGUAAUUUAACUUUGCACCGAUUGGGUGUAAUUUAACUUUGCACCUUGGCCUAGUUAUGAUCCUUUCAUAUUUCACUUUAUUUACAAAGAAACAAAAGAUAAAUGGGAUUUUCUUAUCUGAAUAGGUACUGAGAUUACAAAUUGAAGGGGAAAAAAGGAAGGUUUAAUUGAAGAAAUGAUAAACAUAUUACUUGUUGCUGAUUCUUUGAAUUGCUGCAUUCAUCCCCGAAUUUCUUUUACCAUUGGCAAGUCACUUUCCACUUAGUCUGGACGUCGUAUUGACAAUACAUACCUACAAGGUUAUCCUGUAAACAUUCGGAUAGGCACUAAAGCAUUGGUCCCAGAUAUUGAGGAAGGAAUUAGAGACAUGAGACCCUGGGGACAAAAAGAGGAUAAUCAUACUUCCAGAACUAGGACCUCUGAUUCAAUUGGAAACAAGUAAGUUCGUGUAAAAGCCAGAAGAAAGAUCAAUGUUGUCUACGGAAACAAAAAUGAUAUUAGAGAUCUCAGUUGGUGAAGGGAGGUCACUUAAUGCAAUUUCAUAGCAAAGCUAUCAAAUGAGUAGGGAAUAAUUGCUCGAAAUUUUCCUUCUCUUCAAACAAGUAGAAGGAACUCACAAGAGAGGAGAAAGCACAAUGAUUAGAUAACAUUGUAUUUUUCUAGACAAUCACAUUUUUGUCAUAGGAGCUAUUAGUUAGUCACAAAAUUGACUAUAUUUGUGACAAAACAUAGUCUUUGUCCCAGGAAUAUUGCCUACUAAUCUAUAAUGUAAUCCAUUCUUUGACUAC